UGGCAACUUGAGUGGUGGUGUUCCCA
rnacentral:piRNA from 1 species